rnacentral:rRNA from 1 species
UACGGGGGGGAGCAAGCGUUGUUCGGAUUUACUGGGCGUAAAGCGCACGUAGGCGGAUUGUUAAGUCGGGGGUGAAAUCCUGGAGCUCAACUCCAGAACUGCCUUCGAUACUGGCGAUCUCGAGUUCGGGAGAGGUGAGUGGAACUGCGAGUGUAGAGGUGAAAUUCGUAGAUAUUCGCAAGAACACCAGUGGCGAAGGCGGCUCACUGGCCCGAUACUGACGCUGAGGUGCGAAAGCGUGGGGAGCAAACAGG